UUAAAAUUCAAAUAGAGCUAAAAAAAUAAGAAAAUUGACAUGUUGGUACUGAAACAUAAACUCAAAAGUAUUGUUUUGCUUUUUAGUAUGGUAGAGUCCCCUUUUUUUCUUGUUUUUAAGUUCAUUCACAUGAUUUAAAAAAUGCAGAUAUCUACAUCUAAAAAAUUCUAAUAUACAUACACAUAUGUAUAUAUGUUGUCUACAUAUAACUUUGGUUAAUAUAGAAGACAUAUAACCAUGCCAUUACGAUUCCCAAAUAUAUAAUUAAUGGAUUUAUUUUAUUUGGUCUAUAGGAGUCCCAAAUUAAUAGGUACUUUCAGUACUUCGUUGUUACACUAAUAAAAUAAAGAUGACAAUGUCUGUUGAAAAAUCCUUAUUUUCAUGAGAAUUAUUGGUCAUUUUGUUUAAUUCGAACCAGCAACUCGAUUGGACCUCUUACCCAUAUACAUAUCUAAUAACGAAUUGCAUUACUCAAGCAACGUUAAAGCAAGUCAUGAAUGACUAAUUUCAAAGAGGUUUAAGAUAUUUAAUUAACGGAAUUGAAUAACUAAUGCAUUUAUAUUAAUAAACCAUAUAUAUUAAUUUACUCAUAAAAAAUUAACGCACGUAGUUCAUAUCUUAAGAAAAAAAUUUUGACAGAAGAAAAAAGCAUGUAUAAAGUUGCCAUGUAUAUCCAAGUACAUAAAUUAAUUAAAGAUCUAGAGCACCAAAGAAUCACGUUUUACCUUCUAGCCAUGGAGAUCUUGAUAGCAAGCAUCUCCAAUCUUCUUCUACUGCUAAUUUCAUCAAGUACAGAAAAUACAUUGAUUCUAAGCAACCAAAAAGACACGGGCAGAUUAGGUUGUAUUUCAUACGAUGAAAGUAAUUCUCCUCGAAUGGCAGCAAAAUGCAUUAGCCCCAGGAAAUAAUACUUCAAUCCAAAUGCACGAUGAAGCACAGGUGGGAACAUAUAACAAGUGAACAAAUAUCAUGCAUGUUGAUCAACAGGUGAUUAUGAACAAAUAUCAUUUAUUGUGUAUUAUUCAAAAGAUGACUUUGAGAAGUUCAAAAUCAAAUUUAAUGACGCAAGUAUUUAUCGUUCAAAUGAGGAGAAGGUAUGGGAAAGAAAUUUUCCCUUACUAUGCAUCCUGUGACUAUUACUCGCCGGCCCAGCCUUCGGAUAAUUGUGGCCUUCGACGGUAAAAGGGAAAAAUUGCAGAUUCUUUCUCAAAUAUAAGUUAGAAAUAUUUACAUUCAAACUCAAAUAUGGCGUGAUACUUAUCCUCUUUAAAUUUAAAAUGUUACACUUUACGCUAACAAUUUAAGUUUUUUAACUUUUUUUAUAAUAAAAAAUUUCAUAUUGCCUCUGGUCAAUUGAAGUUAUUUUAAAAACAAUAAACAUCCAUCAAAAUGAAAUACAUUUUUGUAUGUGAUAUGACAAUAUUGUCCUUGAUAAACUAAGUUAAUGACCUAAUUUAUGUUUUUUUCUUUUUACUUAAAAUUUUGGUAUAAACAUGACUAUUUGUAUAUUGAAUUUUCUUUUGAAGUUUUAUUCCAUAAUAAGAUAGUUUCAUUUUAUUACAUUUUCAUCACAUUAUAGAUUAUAUAUUAAUUUUAUUUCUUACAUAAGACAACACGUUAUCUCAUUAAUAACACAUAAAAUAAGCUUCACCAAACCUUCAAAUACCAUAUUACCCCAUUUGUUUACAUCUUUUAGUUUUUAAGUCAAGAAAAUAAAAAAUAAAAAUACAUAAAUUAGGUAAUUAAUUCAACUUAUUAAAGACAAGAAUGUCUUAACACAUACAUAAUAUUUCAUUUUGAUGGAUGUACAUGUUUAUGAAUUGCAAAACAACUUAAAUUGAUUAGGAGUAAUAUGGACCUUUCCUUGUGAAAUAAAUUAAAUUGUUAGUGCAACGGAAUUAAGUAUAUUGUCUUUAAGCCCCCAAGGACAUGGUCGGGUUGUUGCAGUGCAUCUGUACCCUCUACAAAAAAUCGGGUUCGAUUUUUGGAGGUGGUAAGGGGGGGUAAAAACUAUAUUUGGGCUUGCCCACCCCUCUUACCUUUUUUUUUUUUAAAAAAUAU
rnacentral:lncRNA from 1 species